UGGGGAAUAUUGGACAAUGGGCGAAAGCCUGAUCCAGCCAUGCCGCGUGUGGGAAGAAGGUCUUCGGAUUGUAAAGCACUUUAAGUUGGGAGGAAGGGCAUUAACCUAAUACGUUAGUGUUUUGACGUUACCGACAGAAUAAGCACCGGCUAACUCUGUGCCAGCAGCCGCGGUAAUACAGAGGGUGCAAGCGUUAAUCGGAAUUACUGGGCGUAAAGCGCGCGUAGGUGGUUUGUUAAGUUGGAUGUGAAAUCCCCGGGCUCAACCUGGGAACUGCAUUCAAAACUGACUGACUAGAGUAUGGUAGAGGGUGGUGGAAUUUCCUGUGUAGCGGUGAAAUGCGUAGAUAUAGGAAGGAACACCAGUGGCGAAGGCGACCACCUGGACUAAUACUGACACUGAGGUGCGAAAGCGUGGGGAGCAAACA
rnacentral:rRNA from 1 species